rnacentral:rRNA from 1 species
UACGGAGGAUCCGAGCGUUAUCCGGAUUUAUUGGGUUUAAAGGGUGCGUAGGUGGCCUGUUAAGUCAGGGGUGAAAGACGGUAGCUCAACUAUCGCAGUGCCCUUGAUACUGAUGGGCUUGAAUGAACUAGAGGUAGGCGGAAUGUGACAAGUAGCGGUGAAAUGCAUGGAUAUGUCACAGAACACCAAUUGCGAAGGCAGCUUACUAUGGUUUUAUUGACACUGAGGCACGAAAGCGUGGGGAUCAAACAGG